rnacentral:rRNA from 1 species
GACGAACGCUGGCGGCGUGCUUAACACAUGCAAGUCGUGCGGUAAGGCCCUUUCCGGGGUACACGAGCGGCGAACGGGUGCGUAACACGUACGCAACCUGCCCUUCACUUUGGGACAACUGCCGCUACCGGUGGCUAAUACCGGUUAUGACUUCCCUACUCAUGUGGGUUGGUGGAUAGCCUUCGGGGGUUGGGGGAUGGGCUAUCGGUGUAUCCGCUAGUCGGUGGGGUGAUGGCAUACUAAGGCCUCGCCGGGUCACCGGCCCGAGAGGGUGACCGGCCACCAGGGUACUGAGAGAGGGCCCAGUCGCCUACGGGAGGCAGCGGGGGGGAGUAUUGGGCAAUGGGGGAAAGCCUGAGCCAGAAGCGCCGCGUGAGGGAUGACGGCCUUCGGGUUGUAAACCACUGUCGCCGGCGACAAAGCGGGAGUGACGGUAGCAGGUAAAGAAGCACCGGCCAACUACGUG